rnacentral:rRNA from 1 species
GUCUACGGCCAUGCCACCCUAAACAAGCCCGAUCCCGUCUGAUCUCAGAAGCUAAGCAGGGUCAGGCCUGGUUAGUACUUGGAUGGGAGACCACCUAGGAAGACCAGGUGCUGUAGGUG